rnacentral:rRNA from 1 species
UACGGAGGGGGCUAGCGUUGUUCGGAAUUACUGGGCGUAAAGCGCACGUAGGCGGCUUUGCAAGUUAGAGGUGAAAGCCCGGGGCUCAACUCCGGAAUUGCCUUUAAAACUGCAUCGCUAGAAUUGUGGAGAGGUAAGUGGAAUUCCGAGUGUAGAGGUGAAAUUCGUAGAUAUUCGGAAGAACACCAGUGGCGAAGGCGGGUCUCUGGGCAACUACUGACGCUGAGGAGCGAAAGCGUGGGGAGCGAACAGG